UUUACUUUUGAAGGAUAAUUUUGCUUGACAUAUUCUAGGACUCAGUGGCCAUUGAGGAUUUGGUUGUUAACUUGACCCUGGAGUGGGCUUUACUGGAUUCUUCACAGGGGAAACGUUAUGGAGAUGUGAUGUGGGAAACUUUCAGGAACCUCGCCUCAAUAGGCACAUCAGAUGUCACACUGGACACAAACCAUAUGAGUUUCAAAAAUAUGCAAAGAAGCCAUAUAAAUGCAAGGUAUAUAGGAAAGCCUUCUGUUAUCUCCAAUUUUGUGAAAAACAUGAAGGAAAUCAGAAAAGAAAACCUAUAAAUGUAAGGAACCUGGGAAAGCCUUCAUGUGGCUCAAACCCUUUGACGACACAUGAUAAUGCACACUGGAAAUGCUCCUUAUACAGGUAAGGAAUGUAGGAAAGGCUUUACUUGUUCCAGUUCACUUCAAAUACAUGAAAGAGCUCAAUCUGAAGAGAAACCCUAUCAAUGUAAACAAUGUUGAAAAGCCAUUAUAUAUUAUUAUUCUUUUAAAAAAUAUGAAAGGACUCACACAGCAGAGAAACUCUAUAAAUAUAAAAAAUGCUGUAAAGCCUUCAGUUCUUCCAAUUCUCUUCAAAACCACGGAAGCACUCAUACUAGGGAGAAACCUUAUGAAUGUAAGGAAUGUGGGAAAGCCUAUGGAUAUUAUAGUUCUUUACAGAGACAAGAAAGGACUCAGGAGAGAAACCCUAUGAAUGUAAACAAUGUGGUAAAUCAUUCAGAUCUCAUCUAGGUUUCCAAAUACAUGAAAGAACUCACACUGAAGAGAAACCCUGUGAAUGUAAAAUAUGUGGUAAAGCCUUCACUUGUUCUAGUUAUUUCCAAGUACACAAAAGAACUAAUACUGGAGACAAACCCUGUGAAUGUCAUAAAUGUGGGAAAGCCUUCGUUUGUCACACAUUCUUUUGAAGACACAUGAGAGUGCACACUGGAGAGAAACCAUAUAAAUUUGAAGAAUGUGGGAAAGCCCUCUGUCAUCCCAGUUUUUUCCAAAAGCAUGCAAGAACUCACUGGAUAAAACCUCUUGAAUGUAAAUAAUGUGGGAAAGACUUUAAUUGGCUCACAUCCUAAAAUAUGAAAAAUCCUACCAAUAAGAAAUAUCAAUGUAAGUAACAUGAGAAAGAUUGCUGGGAAUUAAUGUAUGUAUAAUGUUCCAGAAAACUUUCAAUAUGAAAAGGUUUUACUAAGCUUCCUUCUUAAAGUAUAUCAUUGGACUGUGGAUUUCUACUAAUUACAUUCACAAAUGAAUAUUGAGGUGAGGUAGUUCUUCAAGUCAUCUUUGAACAGUAGUAUAUAAAAUUAAUAGGUAGUGAUUUUUCCUUAAACCAGUUAAUGAUAUUUCUCUUUCCAUUUAGAAGCCAGUUGGAUCCAUGGGUGAAUUGAAGUGUAUACAUAAUUCACGGUUAGGUUUAAUAUUUUUAUAAUGUUUUAUUUGUUCUAUGUUAAGGAGCCACUGAAAAUUGACAGUUUGGUAUUUGUUAAGAUUUUCCUACUGGUCGUGUGACAAUUCCUGGAUAUCCCUAGUCUAUUAGAUAGCUUCUACUUUUCUUAUUGAGAAAGCUCCUUUUUUUUGGUGUGGGUGGACAUAGGAUCUUUUUGCCAUUUUCUAUAGUAUUAAACAAGUUGAAAUAAUUUUUUCUGUAUGGCAAGUUUGUCAAAGAGUAUAGUUUCAUGUGAAUUAUUUUUUUCGUAUUUGGGCUUUUGCUUGUUGUCUUUCCUUCUGACUAGGUUUGGUGAAUAGACCUUGAAUUAAGAAGACAGCCCUAAGAUAGGACAAGAAAUCUAGAGUUGGAGAUAUCCUCCCUGUGUGGAAUGUUAGGAACUAGAUUUUUCAUUAUCCAUCCCCUAUAUGGCUCCAUGUUGGAAUUCACCAAUAGCCUAACUUGCAAGACAUUUUGAAGUCAGAAGUGAAGAAGGCAUUUUUCAAAUUUUGGAACCGCCAUACAGGGAGAGAGACAGAUACAUAGGAGCUUAGAGGAAAUCAUGUUCCAGCCCAUUUUACAGAUUCCAUGCCCUUCCAGUCAAGAGUAUCUUCAAACAAAACCCAACUGUUUGAUUUCCAUUUUCUUAGAGGUGUAGGUUUCCACUGAUGUCUUUAUAAGUUCCACAUCAAAGAGACACGAUAGUUGGAUUUUUCUGUAAGCCUUCUUGUGUUGACCAGGAAACUAAUUCAGACUUUCAUGAUUGGGAUUAUUCUCAUUCCCUUCUUCUCUAGAUUAUAUCUGCAUAAGAUUUAAUUUGGAUAGGAAAUAUCUUAUGUUGUUAAUAAUGUUAGAGACUAUUUCUUAUUGACUGCGACAUCCACAAUGGUGUCAUCAAAAAGAACAACAUUGGAGUUCGUUUCCCUGCCUCAUUGUGCCUUGACCUAAUCCUUCCAUAUAAGAAUAAGCACCUUCCUCAUGUCAGGAAGACUGUGGGUGUUUCCUGUUACUUGUAGCUGAAUGUAAUCCCUCAAUAUGUUUUCAAUUAUGUUUGAUUUUAUUUGAUGAAAAGUAUGUGCAUUUUUUUGUGAAACAAACAUUUCUGUAGUUCAUUCAAAGAAAUAUUUUAUCGUCUGUUUUCUAAGCUCUCAUGCUAAAAAAUAUUAUUUUUUAUUUCUUCAGAAGAUAUGUUAAAAUAUCCCAUUAUAAUUGUUGAUUUUCAGAAAAACUGCAGUUUUCUUCAUUUAAUUAUCGUACAUUAUGAGUCAGUAUUAUCAUGUGCAUACAAGUUCAGGUUUUUCCUCAGGCAAAUUUUAUUUUUAACUCUUUUAUCAUUAUAAUUUUUGUCAUGAAAUGAAUGUCUCAUCCAUUCUUAAUACCAAAAACUUAACUUAUGGUUUUUAAGGUUCCCUUUUGCAAGUGAUCUGCAGAAUUACAUCUGUAGUCAAAGAGAGGGGUGUAAUGUUAUGAAGGCUGACAUAUGACCCUUUUCUUUUUGUGUCAUUAGUAGGAGGGUCAAACCUUGAAAACCUUCUCCAUCUACAUCUACACACCUUAAAGAUCCAACCCAUUCUUUUUUGCACAAACCACCUGAACCAGCCUACGCUACCCCUACUCUCACUAAAAAGUACCUUUGAGUAAUGAAUAUUUUUCUAUUCACAUGAUGCAUGUGGUGACAUAAGUCUUGUCAUGCAACCCCAUUUUGGGUAGGGUGUUAAUCUUUCCCCCAAAAGGGCUAUGAGAAAGCAGAAGGUAACCCAUCAAAAAUGUCUUUUGGGUCACGAACACAUUUUCAUGGUGUGGAAUUUUUAGAAGACGAGGAUAAGGUAAACAAAGGCAGAGAUCCCAGUAUGGGGCCGGCCCCGUGGCUUAGCAGUUAAGUGCUCGCGCUCUGCUGCUGGCGGCCUGGGUUCGGAUCCCGGGCGCACACGGACGCACUGCUUCUCCGGCCAUGCCGAGGCCACGUCCCACAUACAGCACCUGGAAGGAUGUGCAGCUAUGACAUACAACUAUCUACUGGGGCUUUGGGGGGAAAAAAAGGAGGAGGAUUGGCAAUAGAUGUUAGCUCAGAGCCGGUCUUCCUC